rnacentral:rRNA from 1 species
GAGUUUGAUCAUGGCUCAGGAUGAACGCUAGCGGCAGGCCUAAUACAUGCAAGUCGAACGGUAAGGCCCCUUCGGGGGUACACGAGUGGCGGACGGGUGCGUAACGCGUAUGCAACCUACCUUUCAACGGGGGAUAGCCUUAAGAAAUUGAGAUUAAUACCCCAUGGUAUCAAGAAGUCACCUGGCUUUUUGAUUAAAACUCCGGUGUUGAAAGAUGGGCAUGCGUGACAUUAGCUAGUUGGUGAGGUAAUGGCUCACCAAGGCUACGAUGUCUAGCUGGUCUGAGAGGAUGAUCAGCCACACUGGGACUGAGACACGGCCCAGACUCCUACGGGAGGCAGCAGUAGGGAAUAUUGGACAAUGGACGCAAGUCUGAUCCAGCCAUGCCGCGUGAAGGAAGACGGUUCUCUGAAUUGUAAACUUCUUUUAGCAGGGAAUAAACCUGUGGUAUAUCCACAAUUGAAGGUACCUGCAGAAUAAGCACCGGCUAACUCCGUGCCAGCAGCCGCGGUAAUACGGAGGGUGCAAGCGUUGUCCGGAUUUAUUGGGUUUAAAGGGUGCGUAGGCGGAUUUAUAAGUCAGUGGUGAAAGCCUUCGGCUCAACCGGAGAAUUGCCAUUGAAACUGUAAAUCUUGAGUAUGUUUGAGGUUCUUGGAAUGUGUAGUGUAGCGGUGAAAUGCAUAGAUAUUACACAGAACGCCAAUUGCGAAGGCAGAGAACUAGUACAUUACUGACGCUGAGGCACGAAAGCGUGGGGAGCGAACAGGAUUAGAUACCCUGGUAGUCCACGCCGUAAACGAUGGAUACUCGGUGUACGACCAAUUAAGGUUGUGUGCCUAAGGGAAACCGAUAAGUAUCCCACCUGGGGAGUACGUUCGCAAGAAUGAAACUCA